rnacentral:rRNA from 1 species
UAAUACAUGCAGUCGAGCGGAUUGAUGAGGAGCUUGCUUCCUCUGAGGACUUAGCGGCGGACGGGUGAGUAACACGUAGGCAACCUGCCCUCAAGACUGGGAUAACUACCGGAAACGGUAGCUAAUACCGGAUAAUUAAAUUUGCUGCAUGGCGGAGUUAUGAAAGGCGGAGCAAUCUGUCACUUGAGGAUGGGCCUGCGGCGCAUUAGCUAGUUGGUGAGGUAACGGCUCACCAAGGCGACGAUGCGUAGCCGACCUGAGAGGGUGAACGGCCACACUGGGACUGAGACACGGCCCAGACUCCUACGGGAGGCAGCAGUAGGGAAUCUUCCGCAAUGGGCGAAAGCCUGACGGAGCAACGCCGCGUGAGUGAUGAAGGUUUUCGGAUCGUAAAGCUCUGUUGCCAGGGAAGAACGUCUCAUAGAGUAACUGCUAUGAGAGUGACGGUACCUGAGAAGAAAGCCCCGGCUAACUACGUGCCAGCAG